CAGUUACACACUACGUCGUGCGAUUGAGACAAGGAAACUUGGAAUGACUUUUCGUUUCCCAGAGACUAUGGGUUGAGGAGGAAUUGGAAGUUUGUCGGCUUAGACCUGGUGUCAUUCCAUCAGUGUUAAACUUCCCGGCUCAUCUUGGAAGAGUACGUGCCAGAAAGACCACGACCAAGCAGCCUUGAGAUCUUAGGCAGCGUCUCCCUGAGGUCCCUCUCUAUCUCCCCACACAUCCACCAACCACUGGAACACAUCUCCAAAGUUCUGCCGGGCCAGCUCAGCUUCCCCUCAGAAGAAGUGCCGCCACCUGCCAGAUGAAGGAGCCUUUUCAGAGGCAGCUGGCAUCGUGAUUGGACUGUACUUUGGUCUGUUCCAAUCCAGCUUCAGCUCCAGAGACGGCAGGCGGGACGAGUCAACGGAGGCCGGGUGGACGAAGGCAUGCAGCUGAGUACAAUCCAGAAAACAACAGAGGAGGAGUGCAGCAGCCCAGAGCCAGAACAAACAGAACCAAAGAACUACAGACUCUUCACAACCUGCUCAAACUCUUGGUACAGGACCUCACCACACGGGUCAAGAAGGUUGCUUUGUAGAACUGUUCCAGAAAACCUCACUAAACCACAUGGAGGGGCCUCAAGAUAGUCGUCCAAAUGAAACCAUACAAAAACCAAACUAGCACAACCCAAAUGCUUAAGUCUCCUGCAGCCUACCAGAGAAC
ensembl:lncRNA